rnacentral:rRNA from 1 species
GACGAACGCUGGCGGCGUGCUUAACACAUGCAAGUCGAACGGAAAGGCCCUGCUAUUGUGGGGUGCUCGAGUGGCGAACGGGUGAGUAACACGUGAGUAACCUGCCCUUGACUUUGGGAUAACUUCAGGAAACUGGGGCUAAUACCGGAUAGGAGCUACUGCUGCAUGGUGGGGGAUGGAAAGUUUCGGCGGUUGGGGAUGGACUCGCGGCUUAUCAGCUUGUUGGUGGGGUAGUGGCUUACCAAGGCUUUGACGGGUAGCCGGCCUGAGAGGGUGACCGGCCACGUUGGGACUGAGAUACGGCCCAGACUCCUACGGGAGGCAGCAGUGGAGAAUAUUGCACAAUGGGCGGAAGCCUGAUGCAGCAACGCCGCGUGCGGGAUGACGGCCUUCGGGUUGUAAACCGCUUUCGCCUGUGACGAAGCGUGAGUGACGGUAAUGGGUAAAGAAGCACCGGCUAACUACGUG